AACGAACGCUGGCGGCAUGCCUAACACAUGCAAGUCGAACGAGACCUUCGGGUCUAGUGGCGCACGGGUGCGUAACGCGUGGGAAUCUGCCCUCUGGUACGGAAUAACUCAGGGAAACUUGAGCUAAUACCGUAUAAUGACUUCGGUCCAAAGAUUUAUCGCCUGAGGAUGAGCCCGCGUAGGAUUAGCUUGUUGGUGAGGUAAAAGCUCACCAAGGCGACGAUCCUUAGCUGGUCUGAGAGGAUGAUCAGCCACACUGGGACUGAGACACGGCCCAGACUCCUACGGGAGGCAGCAGUGGGGAAUAUUGGACAAUGGGCGAAAGCCUGAUCCAGCAAUGCCGCGUGAGUGAUGAAGGCCUUAGGGUUGUAAAGCUCUUUUACCCGGGAUGAUAAUGACAGUACCGGGAGAAUAAGCCCCGGCUAACUCCGUGCCAGCCGCCGCGGUAAU
rnacentral:rRNA from 1 species